rnacentral:lncRNA from 1 species
AUCUCCUUCUGAUAGUUAGCUUUCAAUUUUUCGAACUCCUUUUUUUUCUGCUGGGUUGUCAAAUUCAUCAAUUCGGCCUCCAGUAGAGUUAUUCUCUCUCUAUUUUUUCUCUCUCGCUCUUUGGUAGCUUGGAGGAGCUCGUCAGAGACCUCAGCCUGCGCACGAGCGGUCUGAGCCUGAUCCUCCAAAUCAUAGUUGAUCUGAGCAGAUUUGAUCAAUCCCUCCGAUAAAAUUGUAAUGUCGUUGAUCAUCUGC